UUUUUUCCUUAAACAAAACUUAGAACAAAACUCAUAUUCAUCAACAACAACAACAACAAAACCCACCAGCAACAUCAUCAUCAAACCCUAAUCGAUUUCGUUCCACAACCAUCACCAAUUCUAAAAACCAGUGAAAUUUUCACGGCAACACAAGAUGUAAUUCACUUUCAAUUUCAAUUUUCACCGUAAAAACCCCAGCAUCAGUCGUAAUUCACUUUCAAUUUAUAAGAACCCUUCUUUAAAUUUUUGAAAUCACGGCAACACAAGAUGGACAAAGAAUAAAAAAAGAGGGAUGAUUGUCAACAGUGACGAUGAGCUUGGAUUUGAUGAAGAUGUGAGGGUUUCGAUGAAUGGUUAACAGAACUUGCUUUUAUGAGAAAUUGAAUGCAAAAGGGAAUCUGAUGAAAAUUGGAGUUUUCUGGGUUUUUGGUUUAGUUUUAAGAUGAUGUUGUGAGGGAGAUGAAGAAGGUAAAAGAAGACAUGUUUUCCAUAGAGAGAAGGUUUCUGGACUUAUGUUUUCUA
rnacentral:lncRNA from 1 species